AUAAGGGUUCAAAUAUAGAGGGAAAAGGCCCAUGAAUAAGAGUGCACCCCCUUUUGCAAUCGGUUAAGAGUCUUGGGAUAUUUGGGGUUAAGCGUCCUUUGGUUUGAAUAGUACUAGGCUGGGUGACCUCCUGGGAAGUCCAAACUCAAAACCUUACA
rnacentral:rRNA from 1 species